rnacentral:lncRNA from 1 species
UAAGGGGUCAUCCAUAAUUGUCAACCAUUUUCCAAAGUGAACAAAACGUACACUUGGGGGGAGGGGGUUAAAAAAUCAACAUUUUUACCGUACGCUUUUUUUUUAUUUCCGGAAUUUUUUUCGUUUCAACAUUAUUACAGCAAUGAAGCCAUUUAUCAUCUAUGCGUUUGAAAAUAACGUGAAAUUGUACAUUAGCAAAACAACAAAAUGGUAUCUUUAUACUCUUUAUUCUGACGAAACACAAGCAUCACAGUUAGGUGUCAUCAAAUAAAACAGUCAGAUAUGUUUAAGUUUAUUUUCAGUGCAAAUUUCUAUAUUAAACUAAACUAUAAUAGACAGGAUCUUCUUUUAAUUAAGAAUGAUUGAUUCUUGUCUUGAAAUCUGAAAUUGGUUGAUCUACAAUUUUUGAGGGAGGGUAGGGGGUCUGAAAAUUUGUAUGUUUUG